GGAGAGUUGUCCGAGCUGGCCGAAGGAGCACGGUUGGAAACCGUGUAAACGUAUAGAAUACGUUUCAAGGGUUCGAAUCCCUUACUCUCCG
rfam:Facklamia languida CCTG 37842 genomic scaffold supercont1.1, whole genome shotgun sequence.